rnacentral:rRNA from 1 species
GAUGAACGCUGGCGGCGUGCUUAACACAUGCAAGUCGAACGAAGCAUUUAGAACAGAUUAUUUCGGUAUGAAGUUCUUUAUGACUGAGUGGCGGACGGGUGAGUAACGCGUGGGUAACCUGCCUUGUACUGGGGGAUAGCAGCUGGAAACGGCUGGUAAUACCGCAUAAGCGCACAAUGUUGCAUGACAUGGUGUGAAAAACUCCGGUGGUAUAAGAUGGACCCGCGUCUGAUUAGCUAGUUGGUGAGAUAACAGCCCACCAAGGCGACGAUCAGUAGCCGACCUGAGAGGGUGACCGGCCACAUUGGGACUGAGACACGGCCCAGACUCCUACGGGAGGCAGCAGUGGGGAAUAUUGCACAAUGGAGGAAACUCUGAUGCGGCGACGCCGCGUGAGUGAAGAAGUAAUUCGUUAUGUAAAGCUCUAUCAGCAGGGAAGAUAGUGACGGUACCUGACUAAGAAGCUCCGGCUAAAUACGUGCCAGCAGCCGCAGUAA